ensembl:snRNA U6 U6 spliceosomal RNA
UGUCUGAAAUAAACAAAUAAAAUAGGAACAAUGUGGAGACGAUUAGCAAGGCCCUUGCACAAGGAUGUCAUGAAAAUUUACAAAGCAGUCCAUAUAUUU